CCAAGGCCAAGCCCUCCUCCUCGGCCUCCGCCGCCAAGCAGGCCGCGGCCGCGGCGGCGCCCGUGCCGCCGGCCACGGUGCACUCGGCGCUGGUCACCUACUCCUCCAUGCUCGCGCUCCUCUCGCUCUGCCCGCCCUUCGUCAUCCUCCUGUGAGUGCCCCUCCUUCCUCUCCCCCUAUUCGUUCCAAUCGCGCCGCGUUCCUGGCCCGCCGCUGGGAUCGCCCCGACUCCCGCCUCGUCGCUACCCUGAACUUCCCCCAGAGAACGGAUUCGUCUGUUUGUUAUUUAUUUUGCUCGGCGCGGCGCAGGUGGUACACGAUGGUGCACGCGGACGGAUCGGUGGUGAAGACCUACGAGCACCUCCGGGAGCACGGCGUGGUGGAGGGGCUCAAGGCCAUCUGGCCCAUGCCCACCGUCGUCGCGUGGAAGAUCAUCUUCGGCUUCGGGCUCUUCGAGGCCGUGCUGCAGCUGCUGCUCCCCGGGAAGCGGUUCGAGGGUCCCAUCUCCC
rnacentral:lncRNA from 1 species